rnacentral:rRNA from 1 species
GUAACGCGUGGGAACCUGCCUUUAGGUUCGGAAUAACAGUUAGAAAUGACUGCUAAUACCGGAUAAUGUCUUCGGACCAAAGAUUUAUUGCCUUUAGAUGGGCCCGCGUUGGAUUAGAUAGUUGGUGGGGUAAUGGCCUACCAAGUCGACGAUCCAUAGCUGGUCUGAGAGGAUGAUCAGCCACACUGGGACUGAGACACGGCCCAGACUCCUACGGGAGGCAGCAGUGGGGAAUAUUGGACAAUGGGCGAAAGCCUGAUCCAGCAAUGCCGCGUGAGUGAUGAAGGCCUUAGGGUUGUAAAGCUCUUUUACCAGGGAUGAUAAUGACAGUACCUGGAGAAUAAGCUCCGGCUAACUCCGUGCCAGCAGCCGCGGUAAUACGGAGGGAGCUAGCGUUGUUCGGAAUUACUGGGCGUAAAGCGCACGUAGGCGGCUUUUCAAGUCAGGGGUGAAAUCCCGGGGCUCAACCCCGGAACUGCCCUUGAAACUGGAUGGCUAGAA